CACGGGGGGAGCAAGCGUUGUUCGGAAUCACUGGGCGUAAAGGGCGUGUAGGCGGUCAAGUAAGUGGAAUGUGAAAGCCCCCGGCUUACCCGGGGAUCUGCAUCCCAAACUGCUUGGCUUGAGUACGGGAGAGGAUGGAGGAAUUCCUGGUGUAGCGGUGAAAUGCGUAGAUAUCAGGAGGAACACCGGUGGCGAAGGCGUCCAUCUGGCCCGAUACUGACGCUGAGGCGCGAAAGCCAGGGGAGCAAACGGG
rnacentral:rRNA from 1 species